rnacentral:rRNA from 1 species
AAAGCAUCUAAGCACGAAACUUGCCCCGAGAUGAGUUCUCCCUGACUCCUUGAGAGUCCUGAAGGAACGUUGAAGACGACGACGUUGAUAGGCCGGAUGUGUAAGCGCAGCGAUGCGUUGAGCUAACCGGUACUAAUGAACCGUGAGGCUUAACCUUACAACGCCGAAGCUGUU